rfam:Camelus ferus isolate Naran unplaced genomic scaffold scaffold35896, whole genome shotgun sequence.
GAGGGUAUAGCUCAGUGGGAGAGCGCAUGACUAGCAUGCACGAGGUCCUGGGUUCAAUUCCUGGUACUGCCA